UGCUCUACCACUAAGCUAAAUGCCCAACC
rnacentral:piRNA from 1 species